GGUAUUCUAACUGAUGUGGUUCUAAUACAAAUAGUGUUGUAUUUAAAUUGUGGUAGCUGUUAGUACAUGUGCCCUUUUUAAAAGUGUUUGUCUUGGUUGGCGUUUGUCUUGGUUGGUGUGUGUCCCUUUAUUUGACAUAGAUGUUUUGUAACGAAUAUUGUUCUGUGUGUCAUUUCAACAGCGAGAGUUACUGUGGGAUCUAACAGAGAAAAAUGGAGUGGAGUCUCUUCUGCCAAUUCUGGAUGAUAAAUGUGAUAGCUGGCCCGAAGCUACUGCACACAGACUGUUGAGCUUGUCCAUGGAUUGCACUUCAUCGCGUGUCAAGCAAAGACCCACCAUGGCAGAGGU